rnacentral:rRNA from 1 species
GCCCCGGCUAACUACGUGCCAGCAGCCGCGGUAAUACGUAGGGCGAGCGUUGUCCGGAAUUAUUGGGCGUAAAGGGUACGUAGGCGGCUUUUUAAGUUUGACGUGAAAGCCCGGGGCUUAACUCCGGCAAGCGUUGAAAACUGGAGGGCUUGAGUGAUGGAAGGGACAGUGGAAUUCCUGGUGUAGUGGUGAAAUGCGCAGAGAUCAGGAAGAAUACCAGUGGCGAAGGCGACUGUCUGGACAUUAACUGACGCUGAGGUACGAAAGCGUGGGGAGCAAACAGGAUUAGAUACCCUGGUAGUCCACGCCGUAAACGAUGAGUGUUAGAUGUCCGAGGUAAACUUGGGUGUCGGAAGCCAACGCGAUAAACACUCCGCCUGGGGAGUACGCACGCA